rnacentral:lncRNA from 1 species
AUGGCAUCAAGUUCAAAUUCCUCAACUAUUGGAAAUAUUCAAAAUUUAAUGCCUAUUUUGGAUGGAAAGAAUUAUGAAUAGUGGAGCCUACAAAUGAAGACCUUGUUCAUCUCUCAAGAUCUUUGGGAUCUUGUAGAAGAUGAUUACGAGGAACCGGAAAAAACUUCGACGGGAAAAGCGACAUCGGAAUAGUAGCAAGCAGUUAAAGAAAAUAGGAAAACCGAUGCCAAGGCUUUAUUCCUAAUUCAACAGGGAGUAAGCAAAAAUCUCUUUCCAAGAUUACUUUCUACAACUACAUCAAAAGAAGCUUAGGAAAUACUCAAAAUUGAGUUCCAAGGUUCACAGAAAGUGAUCUCCAUCAAACUCCAAUCCUUGUGGCGAGAGUUUGAUAAUUUAUUAAUGAAGGAGAAUGAGUCCAUUCAGGUUUUCUUCACAAAAGUUUCUGGAAUUGUUAACCAAAUUAGAAGUUAUGGGGAUACAAUUCCAUACAAGAAAAUUGUAGAGAAAACUCUCGUAGUCGACCGCCAAAGUUUGAUCAUGUUGUUGCAGCAAUAGAGGAGUCCAAAAGAUCUUGCUGCACUUUCGCUCCAUGAAUAA